UAACGCGUGGGUAACCUGCCUCAUACAGGGGGAUAACAGUUAGAAAUGACUGCUAAUACCGCAUAAGCGCACAGUGCUGCAUGGCACAGUGUGAAAAACUCCGGUGGUAUGAGAUGGACCCGCGUCUGAUUAGCUAGUUGGUGGGGUAACGGCCUACCAAGGCGACGAUCAGUAGCCGGCCUGAGAGGGUGACCGGCCACACUGGGACUGAGACACGGCCCAG
rnacentral:rRNA from 1 species